CGGAGUGGACGCAUCACUGGUGUUCGGGUUGUCAUGCCAAUGGCACUGCCCGGUAGCUAAAUGCGGAAGAGAUAAGUGCUGAAAGCAUCUAAGCACGAAACUUGCCCCGAGAUGAGUUCUCCCUGACCCUUUAAGGGUCCUGAAGGAACGUUGAAGACGACGACGUUGAUAGGCCGGGUGUGUAAGCGCAGCGAUGCGUUGAGCUAACCGGUACUAAUGAACCGUGAGGCUUAACCUUACAACGCCGAAGCUGUU
rnacentral:rRNA from 3 species